rnacentral:rRNA from 1 species
UGCAGGCUGCAACUCGCCUGCAUGAAGUCGGAAUUGCUAGUAAUCGCGGAUCAGCAUGCCGCGGUGAAUACGUUCCCGGGCCUUGUACACACCGCCCGUCACACCAUGGGAGUCGGUAACACCCGAAGCCGAUAGUCUAACGAAAGAGGACGUCGUCGAAGGUGGGAUUGAUGACUGGGGUGAAGUCGUAACAAGGUAGC